CGUCAUGGUGAAACAAGCGGGGGCUAAUGGUAUUUUGGCAUCUGGGAUGAGGUUUACAGCUAGGUUGGGCAUCCUCUUCAUCAAAACCAUGAAAACUUUGUCUGGUUUGGGCGUUUGGCAGCUCCUCCCCUGGGCUUCAGACGGGGUCAGAAGUGAAUUACGAGUCAGACCAAUAUGCGAAUCGAGCGACCUCCCCUUCCCCUUGCAUGCAAUGAUGUGGUGAACCUCCUCUCGAUCAUUCUAAUUCCAGAGAGCAAUUUCGUCGAUACACGGGAUGGUCCGGAAUCCCCAAAAUCCCCAAUAGCAAAGUCUCCAUCCCAGAACUCUCUUCGUAAUGCUAGUCUGUCUUGUUGCCAAAAGGAAAAUGUUUGUUGUGUCCCAGGUUGGAAGGUCCCAGGUUUGUUGUGUCCCUGACCUUAUUCUCUAUAUCUCUACUUUAUCUCCCUAUAUUAUAUAGUAUUGUGUCUCAGAGAGCAGAACAGAACACCAGAGAAAAUGAGGAGCAGAGCGGAUACUUGCUUAAAACCCAAUUUGCAAAAUAUGCAGAAGAGAUGCUGUUUGGCCUUUCUUCUCCGCUGUUGACAUUUUUGCCAUCUGCAGGGUCCCUUGCAGAAGAAGAUGUCAAAAUGGCUUCAUGUGCUGAUGAAAUAUAUAUAUAUUUAUCUUUACCCAGUGGAGCUGCAAUCUAAAAAGGUUAUCUUCAAAUGGAUGGAAUUGUGAAAGCCAGAAUGAUAUUCAUCAGCUGCACCAUUAUCUCAAACUGUAGAUUCAUUUCACCUUCUCCCUCCCACAGAAAACUAUGUUCCUCUAUUCAAGGAUCCAUGGAGAUUUUGGUGACUGUAUUUGAUUUAUUGUCCCACUAGUGCAAAACUUUAGAAAUUUGUAUACCUUUAUUCUAUUACCAUUCAAAUUUUGGCUCCCAUUAUUGGGGCUUCUGAGAAAUCAAACAUUGACUUAGAGAGAGAGAGAGAGAGAGAGAGAGAUGAAAUGCAAGAAUUUGAGCUUCCUUUUAGUAGAAGUCAUUGAUGUAUUGCAAUUGGAACUUAGAAUUGGUAAUCUCCUUUCAUUGAUGAUU